UACGUAGGGGGCAAGCGUUGUCCGGAAUCAUUGGGCGUAAAGCGCGUGUAGGCGGCCCGGUAAGUCGGCUGUGAAAGUCCAGGGCCCAACCCUGGGAUGCCGGUCGAUACUGCCGGACUAGAGUUCGGAAGAGGCGAGUGGAAUUCCCGGUGUAGCGGUGAAAUGCGCAGAUAUCGGGAGGAACACCAAUGGCGAAGGCAGCUCGCUGGGACGUUACUGACGCUGAGACGCGAAAGCGUGGGGAGCAAACAGG
rnacentral:rRNA from 1 species